rnacentral:rRNA from 1 species
AAUAGCAUAUUAAUGAGGGGAGGAAAAGAAACUAACUAGGAUUCCCAUAGUAGCGGCGAGCGAAAAGGGAAGAGCUCAGCACGUAGGCUGACAACUGUUAUGGUUGUUUGGCGAUGCCGUGUUCAGGAGUGUCUAUUAUCUUGUGCCAAAAUAGUAUGUCCAAGUCCAUCUUGAAUGAGGCCAUGACCCACAGAGGGUGCUAGGCCCGUAGUGACUGCUAUUGGUGCAAGAAGGCGUCUCCUAGGAGUCGUGUUGCUUGAUAGUGCAGCACUAAGAGGGAGGUAAACUUCUUCUAAAGCUAAAUAUUACCAUGAGACCGAUAGCGAACAAGUACCGUGAGGGAAAGUUGAAAAGCACUCUGAAUAGAGAGUCAAAAAGUACGUGAAACCGUUUAAGGGCUUAAACCUGAUGAACCUAAAUAUCUGAAUGAGGAAAUUCAGCAUUGUUGUGUCAGAUGAUGGCAUAAUGGUGUGCACUUUUCUUCUAGUAAGACGUUGCGAUCCAUUAGAAAAGUUAAAAUCUGUAUAUAGGCCCGGGUAGGAGUUUAUACAUUAAGCGAGUACCAUGGCUUUGUUGUUAUGAGAAUGCGUGUAAACUACUUGGUGUUCUUACAGAUGUCUGAUGGUAUUAUGACUAAAUGUCGCAUACAAUUCUCGAAUUGAUAUCUCUUGUGGGUAUAAUGCGUACAUUAUCAGCAACGUUUUAGAUUUAGGAUACCAUCAGGACCCGUCUGAAAC